rnacentral:lncRNA from 1 species
UUGUCUAGGCGCUGUGUAGUCCUUGAGGCGAGAGAUGGAGAAUCGAGUGAUGGAUUGAGUGGUUGGUGAGGAGACGAUGAAAAUCGUGUGUUUGGUGAGGAUAAGGAGGAUGGAUGUUGUGUGGGUGUAAAGAGAUAUGGGAGAAUAAUUGAGAGGAUAAGAAAAUAAAUGGGUAAAAAAGAUGUUGGGGAUCAAGUGGUUUUUUUUUUUUUUUUAACACCCCUUGAAGUAACAACCCCAACAUUUUUUUCCUCUGUAACAUCAUGGAUUCCACAUCCGCCAUCACACCCUCCUUUUAACUGUUCUGAUAUGCAUGUCCAAACUCCCUUAACAUGUAAUCCUGAUCAUCAUAAAACCAAAAAGAAAAAUAAAAAACACAAAAAAUCCUAAGCAAUAUGUACAGGGAUACCUUUGGGACUUCCUCCCAAGUGAGCUUAUUUAAAGUCACUAAGCUUGACUGUUUAUGCCUUCUAGGCUUUGGGAGGCUCAUAGAGAGGUAUGGAGGACCCCUCUGGUGUCUCUUGAUCAGCUAGGUAACGCUUGACACGUUGACCGUUAAU